UACAGAGGUCUCAAGCGUUGUUCGGAUUCAUUGGGCGUAAAGGGUGCGUAGGCGGCGCGGUAAGUCGGGUGUGAAAUCUCGGGGCUUAACUCCGAAACUGCAUUCGAUACUGCCGUGCUUGAGGACUGGAGAGGAGAUUGGAAUUCACGGUGUAGCAGUGAAAUGCGUAGAUAUCGUGAGGAAGACCAGUGGCGAAGGCGGCUCUCUGGAACGGUACUGACGCUGAGACGCGAAAGCGUGGGGAGCGAACAGG
rnacentral:rRNA from 1 species